UGGCAGAGGCAAAGAGACCAAGGAAGCUAAGAAGUGAAUAAGAAAGAGUGACAUAGAAAGAGGCCGUCGGACAAGAGCGUGGGCGAGGGCUUUGUGUAAUAGACAGCUGGCUGGCCUUCUUGCUGUUGGACUAUAUCAGCUGUCCCACGAUGGACCCCCUUUAAACACACGUUGAGCCUGAGGAGUAGCCUGCUAAGAGGGGUCAUGUUGUGCUGCUGCCUCCUGCUGGUGAUCAGGUGCAGCAGCUCAUGACGGCAACACUGUUGGGCAGCCAGCUCUUAUACCUGAGACUUCAGACCCUCACAGCUGCACUUGUAUCCGCC